rnacentral:rRNA from 1 species
UACGUAGGGUGCAAGCGUUAAUCGGAAUUACUGGGUUUAAAGGGUGCGUAGGCGGCGCUGUAAGUCAGGAGUGAAAGUUUGCGGCUCAACCGUAAAAUUGCUUUUGAUACUGCGGUGCUGGAAUUAGGAUGAGGUCAGCGGAAUGUGGCAUGUAGCGGUGAAAUGCAUAGAUAUGCCAUAGAACACCAAUUGCGAAGGCAGCUGGCUAGACCUGGAUUGACGCUGAGGCACGAAAGCGUGGGGAGCGAACAGG